rnacentral:rRNA from 1 species
CCUUCGGGGGGCAGCAGUGAGGAAUAUUGGUCAAUGGACGAGAGUCUGAACCAGCCAAGUAGCGUGAAGGAUGACUGCCCUAUGGGUUGUAAACUUCUUUUAUAAAGGAAUAAAACGAGGCACGUGUGCCGCUUUGCAUGUACUUUAUGAAUAAGGAUCGGCUAACUCCGUGCCAGCAGCCGCGGUAAUACGGAGGAUCCGGGCGUUAUCCGGAUUUAUUGGGUUUAAAGGGAGCGUAGGUGGGUUGUUAAGUCUGUUGUGAAAGUUUGCGGCUCAACCGUAGCAUUGCAAUUGAAACUGGCAGGCUUGAGUACGGGUGAGGUAGGCGGAAUUCGUGGUGUAGCGGUGAAAUGCUUAGAUAUGACGAAGAACCCCGAUUGCGAAGGCAGCUUGCUACACUGUGACUGACAUUGAUGCUCGAAAGUGUGGGUAUCAAACAGGAUUAGAUACCCCUGUAGUC